GGAACCAAGGUCAGUGUGGGCUUCUCACUCAAAGUAGGUCAGCUAAUCUCUGAGGAGGACAUGCUUUCCUGCCUCCCACAGCCAGCGUCCCGGGAGAACUCCACCCUCAUUUUUCAAGGCCUCACGAUUAGCUACAGAAAGGAGCUUUUGCAGUUGGAUUCUGUUGGUUUGGUUUUCUGUUUUGAAAGAAGACUCAGUCUGCUGCUGAGAAUGACCUUGAACUUCUGACCCUCCCGCAUCUACCUCCCAAGAGCUAGGAUUACAGGCUUCUAGCAGAAGGCGUGGCCCAGAUUUAAGUCGGAUCUUCCCACCUCAAAAGAUCCAGAUUAAAGGCUGCUUUUGGUCCGAGUUUCACCACAGCAACUGAAUGAAUGAAAACAAUGGAGAAGGUUCUCUCCAGGCUCCACCACUUACUGUGGAGCUGUUGGUGGUUGGCAUGGCAGCUGCUGGAGUAGGGAGAAUAGUUCUUUUCCUUUUUUUUUUUUUUUUUUUUU
rnacentral:lncRNA from 1 species